UUUUUCUGUUUCUUCCUUUUCCUUUUCUUCUUUUUCUUCUUUUUCCU
rnacentral:ribozyme from 12 species